CUUCGGAGAGUUUGAUCCUGGCUCAGGACGAACGCUGGCGGCGUGCCUAAGCUUAUGCAAGUCGAACGCGAAAGGCUCCUUCGGGAGCCGAGUAGAGUGGCAGACGGGUGAGUAACGCGUGGGUAACGUGCCCCAAUCCUGGGAAUAACCCUCGGAAACGAGGGCUAAUACCGAAUGUGGCCCCCGAUCGGAUGAUCGGUGGCUAAAGGUGGCCUCUUCUAUGCUGCCGGGUUGGGAUCGGCCCGCGUCCCAUUAGCUAGUUGGUGAGGUAACGGCCCACCAAGGCAACGAUGGGUAGCCGGCCUGAGAGGGUGUCCGGCCACACUGGCACUGAGACAAGGGCCAGUCCCCUAUGGGAGGCGCAGGCGGGAAUAGUUCCCAAUGGACGAAAGUCUGAGGACGCGACGCCGCGUGAGCGAAGAAGGCCUUCGGGUUGUAAAGCUCUGUCAGGAGGGAAGAAGGCGCUGGGUGUUAAUAGCACCAAGCGUUGACGGUACUUCCAGAGGAAGCCCCGGCUAAAUACGUGCCAGCAGCCGCGGUAAUACGUAUGGGGCAAGCGUUGUCCGGAUUAACUGGGCGUAAAGGGCACGCAGGCGGUUCGUUUAGUCGAAGGUGAAAUCCCUGGGCUCAACUCAGGAACUGCCUUCGAUACUGGCGAACUAGAGUGGCGUAGAGGAAAGCGGAACUCCUGGUGUAACGGUGGAAUGUGUAGAUAUCAGGAGGAACACCGGUGGCGAAGGCGGCUUUCUGGACGCACACUGAUGCUCAGGCGCGAAAGCGUGGGUAGCUAACAGGAUUAGAUACCCUGGUAGUCCACGCCAUAAACGAUGGGUACUAGGUGUCGGGGGUAUCGAUCCCCUCGGUGCCGAAGUCAACGCAUUAAGUACCCCGCCUGGGGAGUAUGGUCGCAAGGCUGAAACUCAAAGGAAUUGACGGGUCCCCGCACAAGCGGUGGAGCAUGUGGUUUAAUUCGACGC
rnacentral:rRNA from 1 species